rnacentral:lncRNA from 1 species
CCCCUACUUCUGCAGUCCUCAUCCCAUCUAGCCUGAAGCAGGGCCGAGCUGGGCUACAGUGUGUCUGUCUUGAGCUGCAGAAACUUGACUCUUUAACUGGGACAGACAGUGCUGUCAAGACAAAGCUUCCAAGGAUACAGCCUCUCCAGCACCUUAAAUUUAUCCAACAGACUUCUGCCAGUCUGUCUAAAAUAACAGAGAAGUAGAGGUGAUUCCUGCUCUUCCUCUUUGAACUUGGGCCAGCCUUGUGAUUUGCCUUGACCAACUGGACAUGGAGGAAGUGAUACUGUGCCGGUGCUUAGCCCGGCCUUUUAGAGGCCUGGCAUCUUCAGCUCUCUCUCAGGAGAAUACUUGUACCUGGAUCUUCACUAGGGGCAGCCAGGGCAGAAUGCGGUGUUCUCAAGACUGCCAUGCUGGCUCAUCCAUACCUUGUUGGACUUGAUAAGUAUCGUAACCUAAUGAAGGAUGCCAUUCUGUGCUCUGCAAGGCCUGGGGGAGCCCCAGUGGGAAGGGAUCCAGAUGGUGCUGGGCCUGGGCCAAAAGUGAAAUGGGGGAGGACGGGUCCUUUCUCUCCUUUGUCCCUAACCUCCCCACUUCCUACUGCUGUCUGACUCAGAACCCUCAUGAAAAACCCAACUUUUUACACUGAUAUUUCCCAGAGGCCUAAUUGUGCAACAAGAAAUAAAAACACAAUUAGGGAACUGAGGUCCAGCAGGAAAUUCAUGUUACAUAAAUAAGACCUGGAGUGCAUAGGGGAGUGCCCCAGCUCUCAGCCUUGUUAGUAUUGAAGGCUCCGAGCACACAGAUCUGGGAUCCUCUGAUUUGGUGGAUAACCCUUGUGAACAAUAAUUCUCUGAAAAGGUAUUUGGAGGAAAGAGACUUUAUUCCUGUAAACAGUUUUCAAACUAGGGGAAUGCAGCUUUCAGUGUAAAAUGAAGGUGCUUUCCAGACAACAAAGGAGGGGCUGGGCUUUUAUAGAGAAAGUUCCUGCCCUGUUCCCACUCAGGUCCACUUAUGCAAAUAAAGGAUUCAAACUUGCUUAA